AUAAUGUCCAUUUUGUGGGCAUCCCCGAGGGCAAGAAAGGAGGAGAUGCAAGGACAUUUUUGGGUGAGCUGAUUCAGGAGUUGCUGGAGACUGAGGGAGAGAUUGAUAUUAAGCAUGCACACAGAACCGCCGGCCAGCAGCUCCAGGCAGGAGGCAGACCACUGACCACUCUGCACAACAGAAUGGUCAGUGGUCUGCUCAUCGGACCAGGACUUGGUGUUGCGAGUGGCAAGAGGCAAGGGCAAGCUAUCCUGGCAGAGUAACAUCAGAAUGCUAUUUCCAGACUUCUCCAGAGGGACACAGAUAAACCACGACAGGUUAAAGGAGUUUAAGAGAAAGCUUCAUCAGAGAGAGGUGAGAUUCCAUAACCUGUAUCCUGCCAAACUUAAAAUUGAAGCCAAAGCUGGAGUUAAGACAAUUGAAUACCCUCCAAAAGGCAAUGACAUUCAUAGAAAAGAUGGAGUGAUUUGUCGGCGAGGGAUUUAUAAUGACGUGUAGCCUCUGCUUAUGGCUGUGUUGCCUUUUUUUUAACCUCUUUUCUCAGUUCUCUCAUGGGACAGACAGGAGCUAGUAUGAGACCCCAGCUGGGAUCAUGCUUGGGCAUAGUUACUUUUGUAUUACUCUGGUUGUAUUUUUUUUGGUAGCAGUGCACAGGAGACAGAGCGUGUGAAGUGAGAACGGAUUACGGACCAAAAACUCAACUCUGCAUUGUUCAAGUUCAGGUGCACAUGGACUGUUCUGAAUCCCAUCAAGAGGAGGAAGGUUUUGUCCAGCCUUAAAAACAAAACCCGAUGCAAGAAACGCAUAUGUUGAUAUUGGAAUCUGAAAAAUUGUUGAGGAGGAUGGGUUGGAUUUGUGUUUCAUAGUGUGAGGUCUAGCAGCAGUAGAGGGGUCGUUACACUGAUUAGCAAGCACCAGCAAUUUAGAUUAAUUAAGCAAAGUAAGGAUAUUUCUGAAAGAAUUAUCAUUGUUCUUGCAGUAACACAAGUUAAACAUACACAAUAUAAAUAUGCACCUAAUGUGGAUGAUCGGGUUUUUUUUUAGAUUUGGAAAAGAAAUUACAAGCUGUAGUGAUCCACAAUAUUGUUCUAUAUCAAUUUGAUAAUGGAUCCAGUUCUGGACUACAGUGGGGUUGAAGUAUGCAGGCCCCCAGAGUCUCGCUCACAUAACAGAUUAUGUGAUUUUAGGAUUGGCUGAUAUUUGGAGAAUUUUGAACCCAGCUGGGAGAGAUUAUACAUUUUUUUCAUCAGUGAACAAGACAUAUUCUAGGA